ensembl:lncRNA
UGCCAAGUAUCAGCACUGCUUCAGAGGACUUACUAAUUUAUUUUGUAAGAAAAAAUGGAAAGAGGACCUGCAUCCAGGACCGGUGCCAGAAUGAGAAAAACAAAAAAACAAAAGCAAGCAAUGAAAGCAAGAAAACAAACAAAAAAACAGGAAAUCUUCCAAUCUGCCAGCAUCAAAGGAUAUUUCACAAUAUAUUAUAUAUUAGAUGAGGGACAUGAGACUUAACCUCAACAGUCUGCUGAGUAGCUGGCUUGGAAAUUUUUGCCACAAUUAUACAGUCAUUCUGUUGAUUUACCUGUGUCCUCUAUUCUUGAUGAGAAAAGCUGCAUUUGUUUUCCCAUGGUACAGCAGAAUUGUUUUGUCUUUUGUCCUCAGAAACUUUACACAAUACAUGGAGAUAUCAUUAUUAGUGGUGUGGGGUGAGAGGAAUAGCCAAAUGGGACUCAAAUAAGUUGCUAACUUGAUCUUUCAGUAAAUAAAUAAAUCUGACUUGUGAUGUUUAGAAUGAAUUUAUAUAUAUAUUCUAAUAGAAUGCCCCUUCACAAAUAAGCUCAGAUGUAAUUUUCAGUUCAAUUUCAAAGACGUGUCUAUUUAAUGUUGCAGAUAAUUCAGGCCUUCUUACCAGCACCACAAGCAAGCCACCUUCAGACAUCUGAGUGUUUCCUGAACUUUUCAUUGUUUGAAGUAUGUACUGUACUAAGUGUUUCUGUACACUGUUUACAAUGGAGCAGCUGUGGAGAUAUCAAAGUUCAAGAAGCCUUGAAACUCUCUAUCUAGAGAUUUGGAAAGACAUUUGGAGUGGCAUUGAAAACAAAAAAAUGAAAGUACAAGAGGGGCAUGGACCUGUUUGAAUGCAUCCAGCGGAGGGUCACAAAAGAGAUCCAAUACCUGCCCUAUGAGGACAGGCUGAGAGAGCUGGGGCUGUUCAGCCUGGAAAAGAGAAGGCUCUGAGGUGUCCUGAUAGCAGCCUUCCAGUGUCUAAAGGGGAGCUAUAGGAAAGAAGGGGAAAGACUCUUUGCAAGAUUUGUGGUGACAGAACAAGGGGAAAUGAUUUCAGACUAAAAGGAUUUAGAUUGGAUAUAAGGAAGUUUUUUAUGAUAAGGGUGGUGAGGCACUGGAACAGGUUGCCCAGGGAGACAGUGGAUGUCCUAUCCUUGUAGACACUCAAGGUCAGGCUGGACAGUGCUCUGAGCGCCUGGUGGAGUUGUAGGUGUCCCUGUUCUCAUUGCAGGGGAUUUGGACUAGAUGACCUCUAAAGGUCUCCCAACUCAAAAGAUUCUAUGAUUCUAUAAGAAGUUUCCAGACAAAUUUGAUAUAGCAUAAAGUAAGAAAAUAUUCUACUUAAGAGUUAAAUGCCUAUUAUACUACUGUAACAUACUUUGUGUUUCAUGGAACCGAUUCUCUUCCUACAGUUAAUUUUGCGGGCAAGUUAUUCUUAUGGAUAAAAAUUGCAUCAACUUUUCACCUGGUUUUGUGUUAGUUAGUUCACUGUUGUCCCACCCUUUCAGAUUUAAGCUGACUGAUGGGAUGAACAGACCAAUAAGAAAAAAAAAAAAGGACUGUGUUUUAGAUCAGGAGAAUUUUGUUUGGCCUCAGGUAGAACACCAGUGAAGAAUCAAAAAUGUGUAUAAUUUCUACUUUUUAUGAAUAAUCAGGACAAAUCAAUGGUAGAAACAGCUUGUAGAAAUACCAAGAAUCCUGUCUUAGGUGACUUUAUUAAAGAAAAAAUCAUCAACCCACAAAGAACAUUUUUUAAGUUAUUAAUAUAAAUACUUUUUUGAAUUAGACUUAGAUUGCACAGACACAUGUACAGUUGCAGAGGACCAAGGAGUACUUAAGUCAAUUUCAGUACCUAUGUCCUUCUAAAAUGUUUAUUCAGUUGGAAACACAGCAAUUAGUCACAUAAAAUAGUCAUUUUAUUUUCUUUUUAGCAAAAAACAAAAACAAAAACAACAACAACAACAACAAAAAAACCCAAGAUUUUUAAUUAUGAGUAUGAGGUUGCCAUCUUGUAUCCAAGAAUGUAUCAGAUAUGCUGCAGACUUUUGUCAUUUCAGGACAGUGUAGGUUAAGUUACCAAAACUGCUAUAGCUGGUCCAACUUUGUAAGAUAGUUUAUGGGAUGCAAAUAUAUUUUUGUGCUGUUAAUAUGUGCAAACUAUCCAAAUGUUACAAGAGUAAGCAUAGGACCUGAGUGCAAUUAAAACCUUACUGCAGUAAGAUACAAACAUUUCUCAAUGAACAAUGACACUGACACAGUUAAGAAAAGUAAUUUCAUAGACUUUCUUUUCUUUAAAUUUCAUAAGUUAAUGCCUGAACUAUCUUACCAACAAAUGACCAAAGAUUCAAUCUCCGUGUUUAAAUCCGCACAAACCCCAAAGCUGAAUUAUCCAGACUAAAGACAGGGUUGCCACACAUAUUUUGACACUCUUCUUACUCUACAUAUUAAAAAAAAUUGCCUUAUAUUUAUUCUAUUGCAUAAAUAGAUUUAUUUUAAAGCUCUGCUUUAUGCAAUAAAAUAUGGUUAAAAUUAACUGCAAAAGGUACCUAGAAGUGUUGUCAGACACUCCAGAGAGAGAUGACAGACUUCACCACUGUCCCACUCUGAACUGGAUAGGCUUGGUAUUGGCACAUCAUACUCUGCCACCUUUGUGACAACAUGCAAAACUUGUAGAAAAGUGGGUGUGAGCAUUUAAAAACACUGAGCUAGUGGAAUUGCUCAGAUCAUGUCUGUCUGAGCUGAAUUUUAGACGCUGUGAGUUUUAUUACCAAAGCUGUUCAGGGAGUCACAGGUCAGGAGGCAGUGCCAUUAUCAAACUUCACUUUAUCUUCUCUUGGAGAAGUCUUAGGUUAUGGUCAUACCCUGAGAUGCUAAACUGCAAAAACCUGAAUCAUCUUUUUACAAAGCACUACCACCUGCAGCAACACUAUGGUUGGAUUAUUAACUGGUGUCAUGUAAUAUAGCUUCAGACAAAGUACGGCUUCUGUGAAAUGCCAUCAUGUCCAGUACUUGAGGAUCCACUCCUUAAAUACAUAAAUAAUAAAAUUGUGAUCUGUCUCAAAUGAAACCUGCUAUGUCUACAAACAGAAGCUGCAUUGAAAACAGUUUUUUUUUCCCUUUUGUUAAGCAAAGAUUCCAAGUACAUCUUCAUAAAAAAAGAACUUCUUGAAUGUUAAUUUUGAACACUUAGAGAUAGUAUUUAACUUUUCAAAUAAUUUUCCUGUGUACUUGGCAAAUAUCUAAAAGCAAUAGAAGGACCAGGGCUAAGCAGUGUUUCCAUUUAUCAGAGCUGAACUGAGAAUGCUGGAAUAACAAAAAGAAUAUGAACACUGAUUUAAACGAUGGGUUUUGCUCCCCAGCGUGUCUCAUUCAUUCCACUGUUUCAGCCUACAUUCUAAUGAAAUGUUAACAGAGAAAUUGCAUAUAUGCUGUUGUUUCCUUGAGGCCAGCUUUUGUUGUCAAAUUUUUGUGUGGGUGGCCAGCUUUUAAUGUGAUGGUCUGAUUUCAUCUGAAUUGUUCCUAACCAGCUUGAUGCUACAAAGCUGUAACAGAAUGUUUGUCAAGGAGUGGCUAUAAAAGACAAGGAAGACAAAGCUAAAUGGCCCAGGAACUCUUUUUCCUUGGAUCAGAUCAGGAUUAGUGAAGAAGUGUAAAAGGAGCCCUGCCAAUCCUGACAGUCUUGCUAAACUGCAGGGAUCUGUGUUUCUGCAGUCUGUCUAUUGUAGAAAAAAAAAGCAAAACUAUAAAAAGUUUUUUAAGUUCUGUGGGUUUCAUUGAGCCUUCUCAGAGUUCCUUUGCCAGGCAGGGAAUAAGAGAUGUGCAUUUUCAUUGCUGUGGAAGUCUGCAUCUUAGAGGUGCCAAGCAAUUUCAAUUUACAUUUUCCUGAGUAGGAGCACAGUCCUUGUAAUCAAGACAUGGUGAGGUUUGCCAGGCAUUCUCUGUAGAUAUGGUUUCUCAGAGGUUAAAUUGAACAGUUAAGAUCUUAUAGCUUCUUCAGCAUAUUAAGCCUCUGUUCACUAUUUAGAGUUCCUUUUAUUGUUGCUGUUGCUAACAGACACAGUAUGUAUUGACUGGAACAGCAACUAGCCAAUUCUCCCAUUGCUGCAAAUACUCUAUUCAAACAUAACCAUUUCCUGGGAGAGAAAAAAAAAAAAAUCAAAUGUUCAGCAACAGCUUCUAGAUUUGAGAUAUCUCUUUAUUUUAUAUUCACAAUAGUGCUACUAGGUUCCUGCUGCUAUCUCUGUCUGAAAGUGUCAGCAUCUAGGUCCUGCACUUUGCCCCAGUAACGCUGCACUCAUAAUCACGCAGUCCUAAGCAUGAAAACCACUUCUAACUCUUUCCGUUCUUAUCUUCUUUCUGUUGCGUUAUUGUGAUGUUUGCUUAAUUGUGAUAUCUUCAAAUUUUGCAAGAAGAGAAAUAAUCUGUUUUUUUUUUUUUUUUUAAGUGCAUGUCUUUGGUUAUUGUCCCUUUUUGCUACAGCUGGAGAAAGCAAACACAGCAAAGUCCAUGAAGGCUGAAUACUAUGCUGUCCUUUGCACACAGUGUAUUCAAAUGGCCUUAGAUUUAAAGAGACUGUGCAGUAUUUUGAAAGGGUGCGUUAGUUUCAUGUCCUUUAAAGGCAAUGUGAACAGUGCUAUAAGAACCUUGCAUGUUAUACUGAGAUUGUGUAUGUUGAUAUGAGAUAUUUCUGAUGCUUGGGGGAAACAUUUAGAAUUGUAAAAAUAAGGUGUUUGAAAAGUGAAGUGCAUACUUUGUUCUUUAUAUCUAACUCCUCAUCAUAAUUACCAGCAUUUUGUAAUUACUCCGUUCUCCCAUGGUGAAACUUCCCAGAUAUGGAAAGCUUGAAAACAAUGGCAUUUUCAAGAAUGUCAGAGGCAACAAAUCCUUUAUAUAAAAAGGUAAAAGGUUUUGUUUAGCCACAUUUGUCCUUCAAGAGAAAGUGAGGCAAACGAACAUAAUGGAACAGCCUCUUCUUGCCUUGUUGUGGAUAUGUAGCCAUCUAGUUUUUUUAUUGUUGGUGAUUUACUCAGAAAUCACUCCAAUACUUUUCAGUGUAGCACAGCAUUAGCUAGAUCAGCCCUUCUCUGUCCUCCCUUCUAACUGCAUUAACCUGUUGUCCUUGAAUUUCUCCUUCAAGUUGUGAACAAAGAGGCUCUUCAGCUUGGGUGGAAGUGGAAAAUGUGGUUAUUGAUUCAGUCAUGAAUAAAUGAAUGUGUGUCCAAAUGUGUGAACAGAUAAAUAGAUGGAUGUUAUUAUUGUAUUGUAUAUUGUAGACAACCUUCUUCAUUUUAAAGAAAUAUGUACAAGAGUGCCAAGAGUCAGAUGCACACACACAUUUCUUUUGAGAUUUUAUAACCUUUUCAGUCCAUCUGUGUUUACAUUGUGGAGGAUGCUGUGAUGCAUUUUAGAGACAGAUAACUUUCAGACAAUACUACACUCCUUUCUGGACGAACACACGGGGUUGCCCUUUCUAAGGACACCAGACACUGGGAAGAGAUGUGCUUGAGAGUACAUUUCACCCUGGAAAAAUAAGGAUGCAUCUGCAGAGCAUAUCCUGGGAAAGGUACUGGCUGCAUGAGGUAGAUACAGACUCAAAGGUCCCUUCUACACCAACUUAAGCACAGUGUUCUUCAAAAUGAUAUAUUUAUCUUUUUACGGAUAUGUGAUUUAUUCUUACAUCUUUCCAUAACAAAGUCACAUUUACCCAUGUAAACAUGUAAAGGCCUUCUUCCCUAUACUUGUCCUAGCACAUUUUCAUUUUGACAAAACCUGUGCUUUCCAAGGUCUUCUUUACAUGUUACCUGUAAUUAUCUUACUGGUAAUGCAGCUAGUGUAAUGUAUAGUGUAAAAAAAAAAAGCUUAUUGUUGUAUUAAUAAUGUGAUGCAAAGAAAAAUAUGCUUAUAUAAAAAAAAAGAUUAUUUUGAUGUUAAAAGAAAAUAUAUAUAUAAGAAGCAAUACAAUACAUGCUUAUUGAAAUAAAAAUUCAAUGUUUAUUUACUCAAUUAUUUUAGUAAAAGCAGCUUCCUGAUAGCCAAAAAUUCUAAAGUUAUGUGUAUCUUCAAGGGAAAAAAUGAAUUAAGUGUUUGUACAAGCAUGGUUUUCCAUUAUUCACUGAGUAUUUAGGAAACCAAAAGUUUUUGAAACUUCUUUAAGAGUGGUGACAGUUCAUUUUAAUGUGUGCACUGUAAUUCUCUAAAAGGUAUAUGUGAGCAUCUGUUUAAAAGGAAGCUAAGGCUGAUAUUUUAAAAGCAGUCAUUUAUUAAGCAGACUGAAGAAAAAUGUUAUUUUCUUUGAACUGGAUGUACAAGUCCUCACAUUUCUCUUACCUGAGAUAACACACAGACCUUAAUGACAAAAAGGAUGAUGGCAUUUGUACACUGGCAUUUCAAAAUAGAUUGCUGAUAAUUCAUAUGGGUAAAUUAGACUGCCUCGUACACUCUUCUCUUUCCCUUUGGAGGUUUAGUGUAUUGAUUUGUCUUACUCAUUUUCAUUCCAUCCUUAAUAACACUACUGCUGUUGAUAUUUCACUAAUUUUAUUUUAUUGUUUCAGAAGGUAAAGGUAACUGAAAGCUCAGUACUCUACACUGGCUAUAUUUUGCAGGUGAAAUUAUACUCCUCUUAGGGCUUGUAAAUCCUAAUCUCUCUGUGUCUUUCCACUUUUUCUUCUUCCGAGAUGUGUCUUUUCUUGUUAAAGGGUGUCCAAUGCAAAUUUUGUUCUCAGGAGAUUUUAGAUUACUUGUUAUUAAAGAUUUUAGAUUAAGAUUUCAGUUUUGUAGUUAUUAAAGAUUUGAUCACUUGCCAGCUAGUACUGACUGAUAUACUGUCAGUUCCGAAGUGCCUCCUAUUUGUGAUAUAUUAGAAAAGCUGGAUAGUUUGACACAUCCGCUUAUAAGCAAAAUGAAAUUUCUGCUAUCAGAUGCCAUGUAGGUACUAGAUUUCAAUGCAUUAUCUAUUUCAUUGGAAAUCUGUGGCAUUCUUGACUGUCCUGAAGUAAGGUGAUUUUGGUCCUCUUGCCACAUUUCUGCAUCAGAAUAUACAUGGCCUUCUUUUAACCUUCACUCUGAAUGUCUUAGAUUAAAAUGCAAAGUUUAAGGGUAAUUAUCAAGCACCCGCUCUGUAAUUUCCCUUAAACUAUUAAUAUGUACUCUCAGUAGCAACUCCAUUUUAAUGUAGGUUUUGUCAGGGAAUCAUUAUGCCCAAAGAUAAUUACCUAAUAUGUUUUCCAGGUUGUGGAAAUCUCAGCAUCUCAACAUCUUUGUUGUUCUGUGUCAGGUGAAUUACAUUUCUCUCUGAGGCAGUUACUGUUAAAGACCUUGAAAUGAAUCUUUCAUUAUUUGCUCAUUUCUAUUGGCGUAACAAAACCAAACUCCAAACAUUUUAUUCAUUCUUUGUUGCCCACAUAUUACAAAUUAAGUAAAGUCAUCUCUUUGCCAUUCUGGCAUAAUGAGCACUCAUGUUUUUAAGGGCAGCUAAAGGCAAGAAGCCUUAGAAUAUUUUUUAGGUUAACCAGGUUAAUCAGAGAAGUGUUAGUGAAAACAGGUACUGAAUUUAGUGUAAUAUUAAUAAAUACAAACAUAAUUUGAAGUUAGCAUCUUUUGGUAUUUUGGAGGCUGACAAAUGACCUUGUUUGCACAUUCCCACCUGUCCUUGCUUUAAGACAGCUCAUGCCUUAAAGUACCAGAAGGCUCUAUGGUAGAUAUGCAAUAUUCGCCUGUGACACAGCAGCAGAUGCAAUGAUGUGGUACCCAUUCCCCACAAUCAGCAAAGAUUUGCUGCUUCUCAGAGGUGUGGAGAGCAAGAUUUCAUCUACCACCCCCACCUUAUCCCAUAGAUCUUCCAAAUUACCCAAACUGCAGUUGUAGUAGUUGGAGCCCUUAGCAGUACAGGAAAGUUUUAUGCACUAGGGAAUGGAAACAAAAUUUGUCAGAAUAGUACUAAGCCCAAAUGCAAUGCUUGCCUUUCUGUGAGCUAAAGAUCAUUCCUUGCAGCUUACCAAGAAUAUUAAGAGGUCUUUGUACUGUAAAUCCUUUCACCUUCUUCAAUAAUAUUGCUUCAGAUAGGGACUUAGUUGCUACAGUUGUCUCCUGGGCAACAUCAGUUAAAAAUUCCUAGUUCUGCUAAGAGGGCCCCUGAGAACUGGCUUCCUGUCAGAGCCUGUUGAUUUCUGAGCUCAGCCCUUUACUUGUCAGCUAAUGGGUACAAAUUGAGGAAACAGGCAGCAUGCUAGAGCAGUGUGAAUAAAGGAAGUUCUGCUAAAUGAGGUGGGUGGUGGAACCAUCUGGACAUUUGAAAACUUGCCUGUUUCUCAGUUAGAUAAUUAUCUAAUUUCACUAUUAUUAAGCAUGCAAAGUCCAAACUACAAUAUCUUUUGCCUGUGACUUAAAAUACAACAUUGAAAUGCCUGGGGUUUCUUACAUGUUAAGCCAGCUGUGUUUUAUUCUUUGCUGCAUUAUUUUUAAUUGUUGUUUGUAUUGAUGCUUCUUUUGCUUUUACUUACUAAUAGCUAUAUGUAAAGUGCUGUUUUUCCCCCCCUUUCUUUAGUAAUGUUAAAAACAAAACAAAACAAAACUUUUGCACCCACUUACAAAUUAACAAGGAUUUCAGAAGCUUUUUGGAGAAUGUGUUUAUGGCUGUUUUAACAUUAGACUAGUAUGAAAACAAUUAUGGACUAUUUUUUAUUAUGGGAUUUGAUCUCUAAUUCCCACCACAAAAUCAGAGUAGCUGCAGGGUAUAUUGGAGAACUGUGGUGAAACAGAACAGCUUUUGGGCCUCUUGGGCUAGUGCACAGCAUUUUCCUGGAAUCUGCCUAAAAGACUGCUCUCUGUUGCUGUCUCCAUGUGAAUUCAUAGGGAGACGAAUUUUCUAAAUGAAUAAUAAUUUGUAGGGCUUUUACUGGCUUGACAGCAGUUGUUUUUCAUUUGAGAAAUUUGAUAGCAUUGAGAGAGAAGGCCAAAUAUAAAAACGGGGGGUAGAUGCACUUUGCAUCUUUAAAGUUCUUGCAUCAUUUCUGGGAAAUAUGAUCCUUAGACAGGGCCCAUUGUUUAUUUAUUCAUUUAACUAUACCAGAAAAUCUUUGCAGUAAAAAACUGUUUUCCUUAAAAUGUAUUUAUAUAAGCUUUUAUUGUAUAUUUAUUAUCAGAGAACAUGAGACGUAACAUUUUGAACCUCUUGUCAAGGGGAGUAUGGGAGAGAGAAGGACACUGCAAGAAGGAAAAAGCCAAGGGACAGCAAGAGAAAAAUUCAGUGUCUGAGAUUACCAGCAAUGAAAUGGAGGGGAAAAAAAAAUAAGUGUUUAGAAAUGCUUUCUCCAUUCAGUUAUGAAUUCCUUCCUGUUGAAUCUUCCAUAGUAUAUUUAUUGAUAAAAUAAGCUUGUGUAAAUGUUCAAAAUUUUGUUGUUAUCUCUAUUAAGUAGGUGUAUAGAUAUUAAAAUUCUAUGUUCACUUCAGGCUAUGUUUGCAAUCUCAGAAUAAAUAAAAAAGGUAAUAGAUCUAUUCCAUCGACUUGUGGCACUUGUUUAAUCAGACACUGACAAAAGAAAUUCUCUGUUCUGCAAAAUACCUUUCUUCAAUUGCAUGAAGAAGUAUAAAACACUUUGAAGUUGUAAUUUAUUUGUGCAUAAGAAAGAAGGGAACAAAGCUUUAAAAUCACAGUCUCACUAAUUUAUAUCACAGUGUUCAAAUUUAAUGCUGCUUCGAAUACUGUACCAAGCUACUUGCUAUCUGUUUGGUUCCUUCCAAACUGGACAUUUAUUAUUUAAUAAAAACACUGAAGAAUUAAUUGAGUAGUUAGAAGAUUUUGUCAGAUGAGACUUUGUCAGAAGGGGUCUUUGUCUUGUUCAGUGCCCCCAUGUAUGUGUCAGUGUAGUGCAAAGGCUAACAGCUACUGCAAGCUCACUGCUAUCUAUGAUGAAGCAGCACAGUCUGGUUUAUGUUGAAUUUGAAAUAAGAGGAAUUACACUGGCUUCAGAGGGAAAGAAAUACAGCUGUUCUUCAUGUAAUGAGAGCAAAUUCCACUCCUUUUUCUUUCUAAGAGCAAAUAAAUAUUAAUUUCUGUCUGUUAUUCCCUCCCUUAUGGGUCUGGAGAAGUCAACGUGUGUAGUUGGGUUUUUUCCAGAUUUUCCCAACAGUAGUCUGUCAGGGAUUUUGUCAUAUCUCAGGGCAUUUCACCCAAUGAGCUACGUUGAGCCUAGCUUAUGUCUCGUAAGUUUAAUACUUUACUUGGUGAUAGCAAGACACCUGUAACAUAAGGUAACAAAGUUCAACUCUUGAGAAUCUGAAGGUGGAAGAAGGAAAAAGUCCAAAUAUAUAUAUAUUUUUAAUUAAUGGGAAAAAUGAGGCAGUGAAUGACUGGCUCCCAAAUGAGAAUUAAGAAAAAAUCAUUCACAUUUAUGUGAAUAAAAAAGGAUUCAAGAAAAUAACACACAGUUAUUCAUAUGCAUUGCUUCUAAUGCAUGACAAAAGAAAACAAGGGACUUGUGUUUCUCAUGAGAAGAAUUCCCAGAGGUGAGAAAUCACACAGGAGUUAGCAAGUAUUUUAGGCUUUUUAUAUCUUCUCUGCAGUUGAGCUAAGUCAACAGAGUAGUUUUUGAGUGAGUUUGUUCCAGGAAGAGGACAGCCCAAUUUGUUAGCAAUCCCUACUGCUGAAGUUUGUGAUAUCCCUGAGCUGAACUACUGCACUCAGAGCAUCAUCCCUACUCUCCACACACCCGAACUCCCAAAUCUAUUUUAGAUCUCCCUCCUGUGUUUCCUCUUUCAAUUUCAGAGUACUGUUGCAAUUUCACUACAAAAUGCACUUCCCACACAUGCUCCCACAGCAAGCUGCAGCAGCUAAUUCAAAUUAGCUCUUCCUUUAGAGGGCUGUCUGAACUGGCACAGGAUCAGUCAAAUUACAGAUGAAUCUGUGGCUUAAAGGUGCUGUAGCCCUCCCACUCCUGUGCUGCACAGUUCUGCCUUCUGUCAGGAGGAAGUCCUACAGCUUUUGCACAUAACCAGCAAAAAUGCGAACACACAGAUGAGCAAUUUUUCCAGGUUUCUCAGACUGAUUAACAAACUUUAACUUCAGUGUUUUCUGAAAACAUGGAAUGCUUUACUGCAACUGAAAGUGACCAUUAAGAUACAAAACCAGUAUCUAGUACCCAUCUAGUGCCUAUAUAGCAACCAUGUUAAUUGUCAUAAAUAUGUUGUGCAUAAACUACAGUGCAUUAUAGGUAUUCAAAGCAUUGAUACUGCUACCAAAUAAAUAUUAAUCUGGAUUUUUAUAUAGAUAGUGCUCAGAGAAUCAUUUUUUAAUAACUGUAUGGCACUGGCCUUCCAUAUAUAUGUGCUUGUAUGUUCUGGUAAAUUCAAAUUUUCCUCAGAGCAUCAGUAUUUCUAUUACUGUCAUGCCACUGAAGUUGUUAGGUAAAACAGAAUGUGAAAACAUUACUAAGAUCACAAUUUUGCCUCAGAAUUGCUUGUACUUGAUUAUCAGAUGUUAUUCUGUAGUCAGAAAGGGAAAGCUUGAUUUUUCUUUUUUUUAUUUUGUUUCGUGCACGUUGGUGGUGCUCAUGAUAAAUGAUGUUGGGAAUUUUGUUCUGUACUGCGCCAGUUCAGAAUCAUGCUAUUAGAGGUACUGUUGAAUGCAUGAUUAGUGUUGCAGUGAAGUUGCUUAUGAACGUGAGUGAAUCAUUUGAAAGAGGAAGGAGAGGUUGGUAACAAUGAAAGGCAAAUCACAAUCUGUAAAAGAAGCAGUGGUGUCAGGGAUAGUGAUAGUGCAGUGGACUGUGACAGGUGUGGUUAUGCUUAGUCUCUGUGGGACAUCUCAGGGUACAGCUGGAUGCUCUGGUAGGAGAGCUGAGAGAUCUGCAUGGGGAGAUUUGCUGAAAUCUCAAGACAAAUGUGUUUUAUUUUCUUUGAACUGCAGCAGCUGGGCAGGUGGGAACAGGUUAAACACAGAAGACAAGUUUAGAAAGCAGCAGAUAUAAAUCUGUUUCUUAUUUGUGUUAGCUUUGAACUGGGCUUUGUACAGUUUUGUGCUGAACUUUUGGGAAUUUUAUGCAUAAGAUUCCCUUAAGCUAUACCUAUGAAAUAUGUAUAUGUAAACUCAUAUUUCUCUGGCUUGGUCAAUGUAUAAGUCACAUAGUUACCAGUAUUUUAACUCUUUAGUCCAAUUUUUAGGUCAGCAUAAGUACUAUCAGGAAAAAAGGUUAAAAAAAUUGACAGUUUCCAAGCCCCGAAAUUCCCAUCUAGAUCCACUUCUGUGUGCCUCCCCCUGUCUGCCAGUGUCCACAAGCACUUGGGAAUCUUCAUUUUUAAAAAUGACUGUGUGGCUUGACAAGUGAAGCCAGAUGUGCCUGUGGAGUCACAGAGAAGCCCAGGACUUCUGGAUACUCACUCUCUCCCUCAGAAACCAGACAAACUUUCUUCCCCCAACAUUUUCCAACCUUUUUUGCUAAAAGUUAUUUUUGUCCUGAGGUCAGUGAUGGGCUGUUGCUAUGUGUUAUAUGUUAUUUGCUUUGUUCCUUGAUAAUGAAAACAUCAUAGGGUUUGUUUAUAAACAUGAAAUAUUGAAAAUAUUAUAUGUUGAAAGUAUUAUUUUUUUAUAGUUACUAUUAAUAUGGAAACAUAGAAUAUACUUAGGUUAGCAUAUAGAUGCAUUUAAGUUCAGUUGAUUGAAAUUCCUUGUUGCCUGUAGGCAAAAUUUGUUUUGUCCAAAAAUAUUAUGUAAGGACAGGACUGUAAAGAAACACUUGUUAGGCAUGCAUGCUAAUGAGUUCAAAAUUGUAUUUAUUAAAGUUAGUAAAGUUGAGUAAUUAUUUUUGUCCAGCAGGAAACAAUUUAACUUUUGGAGACCCAAACUCAGCUCCUCUCUCUGAUUAGGAGGUUCAGACACAUCUUCUAUUUCAAGAGUCUCUUAAUCACCCAGCAAUCCUGGAGAGAGGAGGCUGGAUUUGGCAUGCAAAGUUGUUUAAUUAUUUUCCAGAAAUUAAUUCAGGGUUCUUCAGGAAAGAGGAAGGAGAAGAAAGCAUGUUUCAGUCUACAACUGGUUAGGGCACUGUGCUGAGAUUAUGGGGAUUUGACUGUCAGUUUCAGCUUUAUUAUUAUUAUUAUUAUUAUUAUUAUUAUUAUUAUUUUAAUAGACUUCUUACAGAGUGAGCAAAGAAUAAAUGAAAGGGAAAUGUACUAAGUGCUAUUAAAAUGCAAAAGUAGUGUGAAAUACAUUCAAGGACUACUUAUUUAGACAAAUACUAUCACUUGAGUUUUAUCUCAUUAAAAAUACUUAGAAGUUUGUUAAAAGAAUACUCUCAAUUCAGACUGUGCAAUUACUAAUGAAAACUAACUUAAAUUUGGCUUAAAUUCUUUAAGCUUAAUAGACAAUUCAGACACAGUUCUUUCAGUGAGGAUUAAGACUAGGUAGGAAGUGUUUGCAGUUAAACAGAAAUUAAUAAAAGAGGAAGAGCUCUCCUAGUGUCCAUUAAAGUCUGUAUGUACCAGAUAAAUACAGUAGGAGCCUACAGCUUUGCUGUAAUUUCAAUGUAUUUGAUGGAGCUAUAUGAAGGAACAAGUGGUGUAAAUUGCUGAAUCUAAACAGCAUGGAUUUACAGAGAAAAACUGCUAGUAAAAAUAUCUAUUUUACUAAGAAAGAAUUUGAGUUUUCAGUGCUGAGUAUGAUAUCAUUUGAAUACCAUAUUAACUCACAAUUGCUUUUGAUCUCCAAAUAAUAAUAAAUUUUCUAGAAAUCCCAUUAACAGACAUAAUUAAAUCACAGUGCAAUUGCCAGAAUUCAAAUGAACACUAAGUACAGCCAAGUCACUGUAAAAGCUUUCAACCAGCAGCGCUCUGCAGAAUCAUUAUUUGGGCGUUCACUCCAGUCUAGACUCUUACCUAGGCAAAGCCAACUAUAAGGAACAUAGUGUUAACCUUCCCAUCACAGAUUGCAUAAAAACAGGUUUAACAGGAGAGGAGGAAAAGGAGAGGAGAAAGAAAGCUGCUAAUACUGUGUCAAUUAGAUUUAGUGGUGUUAGUUGAGUAGUUUGGCUAAAAUACUCGGGAAAGGAGUGUGAUAAGGAGAGCCUCGAUUCUGGAGAGACCUAUGCAUUGACACACAGCAAGAAAUACUAAUCAAGUAGCAUGUUCCUCUUAAUGAUCCAGAAAGUUUUGAAAAGGACUAAGCAUAGAAAUUAAUAGGAGAUGGUUUCUGUAGUUAAGGUUGCAUCACUAAACUCAUUAGUGCCAUGACUCAGGCUUGAGCACUGUCACACAAGUUUAUUAACACUGUUUCUGAUAGAGCUUUGGACAGUACUUACCCAUUUAAUGAUCUCAAGUUAUACUAAAGGGAGGUUAAGACUGGAUAAUAGGAAGAAUUUCAUCAUGGAGAGGGUGAUUCAGCACUGGAAUGGACUGUCCAGGGGAGUGGUGAAGUCCCCUCAUCUAGAGGUAUUUAAGAUACACAUGAAUGUGAUUGGACAAGGGGAAAUGAUUUCAAACUAAAAGAGGGGAGAUUUAGAUUGGAUAUAAUGAUAAAGCUUUUCAUGAUAAGGGUGGUGAAGCACUGGUACAUGUUGACCAGAGUGAUGGAUGUUCUGUCCCUGGAGAUGCUCAAGGUCAGGCUGGAUGGGGCUCUGGGCAACCUGAUAGAACUGUAGGUAUCCCUGCUUAUUGCAGAGAAGUUGGACUAGAUGACCUCCAAAGGCUCCUUCCAACUCAAACAAUUACAUGAUUGAAUUAUCCUGUGUUUUAGUGAUGGGACUAGGUAAGUCAGGUUAAUGUUGGACUUACUGAUCUUGAAGGUCUUUGUCAGAAACAGGGAUGACAUCACCCAUAUGGGAUAUGAAAGAGACACAUGCUCUGCUUGUUUCUUACUCUAAGGGCCAGAGGCCUUUCCCUUUCAUUUAGCAGAACAGUUGGAGUUUCUUGGCCCAGGAAUAGACAAAUUUGGUUUAACAUUCCUAUGUUUUAGUAAUAGCAUGAAUAAACAAUGCUGUAGAGUUUUCUUCACAGGCAGAGCUUAACAUUCAGUUCCAUAGACUUUUUUGCUAUUGUUUAAUAUCACAGUGAAAUGUUUUUGUGCAUACAGUAGAGCAUAUCAAAAGAAUCACAUUUUUAACACUACUCUGCCUCCAUCGCUGAACUACUGAUAAUAAUAUUUUGAUGUCUCUUUCUGCUAAAUAUAUAAAUGUUUGUAGAAUCAUUCAUCUAAUUUCAAGGAACAUUACUUCCAAAAGUGAACUCAGUCAUCAAAAAUAUUCCAAACUGUUUAUUAAAGAUUUCAAAAUGUGGAGCAUUAGUACAGGAAUUUGUCAGAUUUUAAUAAGGUUGCCAUUAAAACAAGAACCAUUAUAUUCUGAGACCUGAAAACAUAUAUAUUCAGACAAAACUCAUCUUUUUCUUCAUUCUAGGGAUUCUGGUGUAGUGUGACACUUGGCUGCUUAAGCACUUUCUGUUUUAUUCUUUCAUUUACUGUAACUGGUAUGAUUAUGCCUCCAGAAAUUGGGAAAUGUAGUUAUGAUUUCUCUUUUUUCCUUCUUUUGCUCACAACAGUCAGCCAGCAGGUAAUCUUUCUUUCUGUCUGCUGCCUCUUUUCUCAUCCUGAACAUCAGUCUUUCUGUACUCCCUGGCUCUUCUGUCCUCACUUCUGGGUAGUGCAGCUCUUACAAGUAAAUUUAAGCAGUUUGUAUCACCUGUUUGUAUCACCGAAUGAACACUGCCUGAUAAAUCUGCUACUACUCUGCUGCCAAGGAUUUUAUAUGUCACAUACCUACAGGCACUGUUGCAAUAGCAUCACUAAAUAAUUGAAUAAUAUGCCCCAAGUCCUGCAAAAUGGAGCUGCAGUAGCACUUCUUAUGCCCAAGAUUCUAAUAGGAUAUAAGUAUUAUUUGUGAAAUCUUUAGUGAAGCUGUACAUCAUCUUGUAUUAAAAAAUAGACUAUAGGCUAUAGAACUGACUGUAAAACAGAGCAAAGCUGGACCUCCUACAUUAGUUCUGUAGUUGGGCUGGGGACUGGAAGUCUGACCCGCUCAGUAAUACGCACAGUAGUUAUUAGCACACAACAAUAUGCAUAAUAUGGGCAGCACAAUCAGUGCAGUUAGUGUUCCAGGCAAGUAAGCGAAAAAGAAACUCAGUCAGUCACUUAAAUAGAUAUAAUAGAUCAGGUAAGAGUGACAAGGGUCACUGGGAGGACAUGUAGAAAAUUAAACAACUGAAAGAUCAGGGAACAUAAUUUGAGGAAAUGAAAUUGGAGAAGAACCUAUAAGCAUAAAUUAAUGUUAGUAGGCUGGCAGAAGGAGGAGAGUUGUAAAGAUAGGAGCUGAAGGAUGAGAAUUGUAGUGGGCUGUGUGAUACAGAGGAUCUGUAACCAAACAGAAGCUUUACAACAUCAAAUCAUGCGUGGGAGAAGGAGAUAAAUCUCACUAUACAGUUAGGAGUUUAGGGUAUAAUACAGCAGAAGAGCAGAUGUUACGUAUGUAAACACUGGUAAAGCCUAAAUAAAAUUGUUAUAAUAUAAGAGAAAAAAAUGUAGCAGCAACUGUAAUGGUCCAUGUUACCUAAUUGCCUAGCUUUUACUGGCCAGUAGAAGAUUUAAAGGAAGGAGGAUAGGAGGUAGGAAAGUAUUGAAAAUACCUUCAUGUUGAAUAUCUAGAAAUAAGUGGCUUAGGGAUCUCCAGAGUUCAGAUCAAAUUGAAUCAGUAAUAUAGAGUUAAAUUUUUUAUAAGUUUUUGAUGAAGUAAAUCUUUUGAAGUUUUAAAAUAAUAGAUUUUUUUUUUUCAUGGAACAAUUCUGGAUGCUGUUUACACCUUGACUUCUAUCAUAUCCUGUACUGAUGAGUUUCAUAAUUCAACUGCUUGUCAAAAGAAAAAAAUAUGCUACUAUGUUUUCUUUUAAGUCCUAUGCUUGGCAAAUUUUUGAGUGUUCAAAGAAACUAUUUACAUUCCAAAAAAAAAAAAUGUAUAUAUUUCUUAUUUGUUUUUUUCCAUAUCACUUUUUUUUUCUUUUUUCUUUUUUUUUAUUUUAUAGAUCCCUGUGUCUUUCUGAUUUCAACAUAAAGUCAUCCUAGUAGUUUAUUUCUCCUUAAUUUUGAUAGAUGCCAUUCUCUAUCUCUGAUCAUUCAGUUGCCCUUUUCUAAAUUUGUUUCAUUCUUUCUGAGGGAGUGGCCUGUGUUGCAAACUGUUGAUUGAUAGAGACAUUUCUUUCUGCAGCUCUCCCUUAACAGUUCAUAUCAUUCUACUUGUCUUUCUGAUUACUACUGAAAGCCACUAAUAUUUUCAGAUGGCUACCAACAAUAUUCACAUUGUCUCUUCUUUGUAGUGAAAUAACUGAUUUAAUGUAUCAUAAUUAGAAUUAUUCCUCUCUAUGUACUCUUAUUACGUGCUUUCUCUUCAGUCUGUAAAAUGAAAGGUGAAAUUUAACCUGUUAAAAACAAGGCUUCCUUCACCAAGUCUUUGCUGUCAUCUUUAGUUUUUAUUACUGCAAGCAAGUUCAAAAUUGUGAAUCCCAAUCAUUUAUCUUUGGCCUUUGAAGUUUUUUUUCUGGCUUUAAAAGAAAGACAUCUCCAAAAGCUCUUUGGAGUUCCAGCUCUUUGUUUCAUCCAUUUCACUUAUCUCCUAUGUUGAUCAAAUUUAUCAAAAUACCCUCUAGUAAUUUUGUGAAAUAUGAUUACAGAAACAGUGUAGAAUAUUCAUCAUAUUUGCUAUGUGUCUACUAAUUUCAUUCUGUGUUACGCUGUCGAUGUGUUGGCUAGAAAUCAGAUAUACUGGUGGGCUUUCAGGAACAAGGAGUUGCUGUCUGAUGUUGAGACUGGUUUGAAAGAUAGCUCAAUAAUUUACUGUUCUAAUUUCUAAAGAAAUAGUGAGUGAUGUAUUCAGUUAAGUGGUAGAUUUUUACUGUUCUUUUUCUGAAUCCUUCCAAAAUGACUUCUUCAGAUACAUCAGUUGGGUAAAUUCUCAUGAUGAUGCCUUACUCUCUAAAUUAAAAUUCCAGUCUGGGAAGCUUCCUAGGCUGUUUAGCUGAUUAAAAACACUAAUUUUAAAAUAAAUAAAUAAAUAAAUAAGGUUUUUUCCCUUUAGCUUCAUUAUGAAUGAGAGCACUUGUUACAUCUUUCUUAUAUGUCAGCCCCACUGAGUCUUUAAGUGUCUGAGGGUACAAGUGCAGUGACAGUGAUGUACUUUUUUCUUAAUAUGUCUUUUUUGUUAAUCUUACCAUUUACAUUACAGACAUUGUACUAAAAAUUGAAAUUGCUCAGUGUUUUACAUUUCACUAAUAUUAUUUUGAUGGAAUUAUUCAAUGCCAUAGAUAACCACUGGAAUCUAAGUGCUGGAUGAUGGUUUUCAGCUGUUAACAUUAUGUUUGUAUUAACUAUCAUAAUAUGACUUCUUAAAAUAAGUACUUUACUUGUGUAAUUCUGUUCUAAUUUGUGUUGUUCUUUAAAAUAGAACAGUUUAACUAAUUCUUUAGAUGUUUUGUUUCAUCAGAUGUCUUGUCCUCAGAAUGUGUGCCUGAAGACAGCUCUGCAGAGGAAGAGCUGAUAGCCAUUUAGUGACUUUAACUGAGAACAUACAGUCAUGUCAGCUUUAGAAUUUAGUCCCAGUUCCAUUCCUGUCAUUUGUACAGAUUCUGAAAGCUGUUGAAAUGAUCUGUGCUGAGACAGUACCUUUAAAGACAAAACACACAAGUUGUGUCUCUGAUUCCUCCCAUGGUUUGCUUUACAACUUGGAAUAACUCCUGAUCUUUUCAUGUUUUUACUAUUCUCAAUUUCUGAAUGUCAUUCAAACCCACAUACUUUUAAUUUUUGAAAGCUAGUAUCCAUCCCUGCGAUCCCUGGAUCCAUCCUCAAGAAACUUGCAAACUGGGUUCUGAUCCAGAAACGUUUGUGCAAAUGGCUCCUUUACAGUGAAAUAGUUUGAUUUUAUGCCCUGCAAAUUCAAUUCACCCUUGGCCACAAUUAUAAUGUGUGAAAUUUGUAGGUAUCCAAAUACACAGAAACAGUGAAAAAUUUUCUUUUGCAGUCUGAAAUUAGGGAUAUAUACAUAUAUAUAUAGUUCAAUCGGCCCAGCAGUAAGUUAAAUAUGAUGUGCUUUGGUUGCUGCCAAAUUAGAUAAUAAAUUAGACAAUAAUUAAUUAUUUUUGCCAUAUUUUUUUAAUUUUGUGUUGCUUUUUUUAAUUUUUUUUUCCGUACAUCGGUAGAACUGACCCUUUUUAUUUGAAAAUUUGAUGAAGUUUUCAGAAAAUCAAAGAAAUACUUAAUCUUUUCAUAUUUUUUUAAUCAGUUCAAUGGGACAACAGAUGUGAUUGCCAAACUGAUUGUUCCUAGGGAAAAAGGCUGUAUUUACAAAAGCCUUUUGAAAACUAAUCUGAGUAGAAACUUAUUUGAAAACAUUUCCUUUCUAUUUAGAACAGGGCAUUCUUAGAUGUUUCCUGUUUGUUUUUAUUGUUUUUAUAUUCAUUUCUUUGUCUUUUUUUGUUGUUGUUGUUCAUCUAGUUAUUGUUAAUCCCUUAUUUUUUAAUUUAUUAAAUUAUUAACCCGUAAUAUUAUCUGUGGGCAAUAGGGAAAAAAAAAAAUAAUAAUCCCCAGGCAGUGUACUUGUAGCUGUAUAUUAUAUUUAUUGAAGUUUAAUUAUUUCAAGGUAUGCAAAACAGUAUUACAGGUCCAAAACUACUUCUGAUACUUCGGAUGAUAUUUGAGUUGCAGAUAUAAGACAUAUGGCGUUUUCAUGUCAUGUGCACUGUUUGCCUUCACUGCAUGGUUAUAUUGUCUGGCACAAUAAGAACCUGAUAUUGUCUGAGGCCUGCUGGGUCAUAUUACAUUGCUAAAACUAACAACAGAAGUCUGUAAGCACAGUUAAAUAUCUAACUUAGCCAUAGAUUUUAUGUUGCAUCUCACCUCUCUAAAAUAUUGUACAACAGCAGGCUGUUUUGAUAAGCUUUUUUAAUUGCAGCGUGCACUGGAAAUAAGUAAUAGCCACCAUGGUAUUCUGACAAAAUGUUUCUCUCAGCACUAAGGUAAAGAACUCUGUACUUCACUAUUAAAGAUUUACAAAACACAUCUGUACACCUGCUUGCUCAGUGUUAUAAGUCAUAAGCAAAGAUUGUACCCACAGGUGCAAUUGUGUAAUUGUGAUUUCGCAUGCCUCAUUAAUGUCAUUGAUUAGUGUGUGUUAUUCUGUUUUAUUCCCAUUCUUUCAAAAUUUAGACGUUAUCAAAAUUUCCCCUUCAAUGCAGUUCUAUGUUUGUUUUGUUUUUCUGAGUCAUAAUUCUUUGAAAUAUGUUUAGGCACAUUUUUGUUAUGAUAACAUACCUUUUCAAACCAUGUUAAAGCAACUAAAAGGACAAUUUACUCUUAUGAAACCUGAGGCAACGUAUAAAAAGUAGCUGUUGUAAUGGACAGUGCAGCUGGGUGUGCCUGAAAAUAUACAGGUAACAAACAGGGCGACCCAAAGAGGCAGUUCUGCUAGCAGACUGGAAGGCUGCCACAGCCACUUAUAGAUACAUCCAGGUUUUCAGCUGGGAGAAGGUCAGAGGCAAACAAACCUAGAGCCCUCGAUUUAUGCAUACACAGAUGACAGCUGCCUCCUGCAGCAGAUAUUACAAAAGAGGGGAUAAAGUCAAACUGAUCAUCUGUCUGACUGUGCCGUCCUGGCCUGACCAGGCUCCUUUUUAAGCUUGGCAGAGUGCCACAUGAUGAAGGCAAAAUGUAGUCUGGUAUCACUAGAGGAUGAAAUAAGAGGAUGGGCUCAGCAAUACAGUGGAAAAGCAUUUGGAACUUGCGUGGAGACCUGAGUUGCAUUUGUUUAGUGUGGGAAGUUAAGAGCAUCCCCACCAUGCUCUGUUCCCCUUGGGGCAGCUAGUUACAGAUCCAGGAGUAGAAUAGCCUUGUGAGAUAAUUUAGUUCCAGCUCUUCAGGAAUUGAGCAGCUAGUCUGAACUAAAUGCACAGAGCCCUCUCUCAUCAGGGAAAAAUGAAGCAGGCAAAGGAAGAGCAAAAACCAAAACCAGCCCUCACAACGCUCAGAAGCUGGGAAGCAAAAGAUUAUAGAGCAGUUGUAUAUGCUUCCAGCACAUAACACCUGAGCACAGAAAAAUGAAAAGAGGAUGAAAGUAUUCUGGGGAGCAGCUGAUAUUUUUCCUACUGAUUUUAAAACCUCUACACUGAAUCCAUGGUGUUUCCCCCCCAUUUUCCUCCUAAACAUAACAAAAUGUGAUGCAGUCAUGAGAAUUUUAUUAUAUAUGAAUUAAUUACUGAGAUUAAUGGCCUUGGAGAAAGGAUUUGGGGGUGCUGAAAAGCACUGUUCAGGUGAAAUGUUGGGUCUUGAAGUAUUUUCACUUGUCUGAACUGCUGUUAAAAUAGGAAGCUCUCUGUAUGUCCAUGAAUAAGAAAAAUAUGUUGAACUUGUUCUAGCAUCUGCCAGAUCUGUAUGUACAAAACUCAGCUGCAGUUUUCUUAACGGUGCGCUAAGAAGACUCAGUGCCAGAGUACUCUAUCUGCAUGCAGUUCUGCAGGAGAGCUGGAGAGUUUAUGGUCCCCCUGCAGUCACAGGAGUCUGGAAACUAAUUCAGCCUAUCUGAAGAAGACACCCAGUGGUUAGUUAGUGAAUUGUUUUCUAUGUUUCAUUAACAGCAAUAGGCGGUUGUCUCCAAGCUCUGUUAUAGAUAUGUAUUGCAGGGGGUUUUAUGCUGAAGUAAGGCCUACCCACAGUCCUUGUCCUUGUGGCACUAACUUUAUGGUGAGUAGGAAAGUUGCAGUUUGUGUUUCUGGCAUAUCAUGUCACAAUGAGCAUAAGCAAACAAGAAGCAGUAAUAGCAAUACUUUAAACUGUUACUUUUAUAGCUCUUCUGUUUCAUGCACCUUCUGGGGAUAUUCAGAUUAUUCAGGCUUUUAAAUGGCCUCCCUACAGAUGUAUUCAGCCAUUUGAAAUGUAGUUUCAAAGGGUGGAAAAAAAAAAACAAAACAGUAAAUACUUUAGAAAAUAUCAUCUUUUUUCCGGCCUUCUAGAUAACACGCUCAACACUUCUGAUGAUUCAUGAAGUUCAAAAAUUGCUCUUAAAAUACAAAAAGAAGUUAGUGUUGUAGAAAAAAUUUACUACUUGACAGUUCUUGUUAUAUAGUGAAACAUAAUUAACUAAAUGUGAGCUGGCCUAUGGUUAUUUUCCCCAUGAUUAGACAUGACAGGAUGUCUCCAACUGUGAGACGGAAGGUAAUUCAGUUUUCACAGAACUUUCAUGUGAUGCUGAUUGAAUUAAUAUUUAAGAUGUGUCAUGUCUUGUGCAAGGUAUUAUAUGUUCGCUGCUUCUAUUUAUGAAUGAGGUGUUUACUACCUUCUAGGUGUUCACAGGCAUGAUAAGUCCUAGGAGAUAUUUGAAGUGAGUUGUGGAAUGUAUGCUCUGAGGUCCACAAUUCUGGUGUUAGAUCUUCUGCAUUUUCUUUUGAGUUUUUUGGAGAAUGCUGUCUUUAAAUGGUAAAUAUAAACCAUAAGAGGAUUUUACGAUACUGCAGUGCAUGUUGGUCAAUUUGCAAAAAUACUGUGGCUUUGUGUGACAAUAUCCAUAAAUUGAGAGGAAUAAAAGCUCAAACCCCACAUUUUGCUGACAUACUGUAGGUAAAUGACUGCUUCAUUGCUGCAUGUCAUUAUUAAGUGUUUUGAAAUACAUGAUAGCAUGUAUAAGGAGGGAAUAAUUGGUAACAUAAUAGUUUCAUUUCAUAAAAUGGAGACCUCAGUUUAACUCUCUCAUGCGCUUAAUUUAUUUCUCAGCAGUUCAUUAAGAACAAGGAAGGAGAAUAAAUGCUUCUGUCUAGUUUUAUGCUCUGGAUGAAUUUAGUGAAGUAAAGCUUUGUGGAAAUAGCAGUUUUUUGAACAUCAGCAAAUUUAGACAGAAACAAUCUAGUGCUUUGGAUUAUGAACUUGAAUUUCAUGCUGCUCUACUUGUCAUGUUUUCAGAUGUUUAUUUAUGAAAUGAUUAGGCAUUACUUAUUUAUUGGUAGUUUAGCAUAUGAACAUUAGUAAGAUUACAAUUAGCAGUCCUUUUUUCAGUGACUGACACUACCAAACAUUUACGUGCUGCUAACAUGACUGGAUCAGACCUUAAAAAGCCAGGAGGUAUAAUAUGUACCCCAGGAGAGCUCCAAUGGAAACUUAGACAACCAUGGCAAAAUCUUCCUUGCUUCUGUCUUAGCUUUGGAAGCAUUUUACGUCUUGCCUUUCUCCCCAUCUGUUUUCUAAACAGAAUAAGAAGUGUAUGUGGUGAAAAACAGAGUUAAACCACACUGCUGGAGUUCUUUACAGACAGACUAAAUGCCUCCAUCUGAUGAGACAUGGGAGAUUUGUUUGUUCUAAGUGGAGCAUGUGUACCUUUGCAUUUCUCAUUCUUAAGGUCCCCAUGAGCUCUGUAUGAGAAGUUAAUAAGGGCUCAGCAAGGCUACUACAGCUGAUUUGCACUGAUAAAUUGACUAGCAUGACUGUAUUGAUGAAAUUACAAUUGGGCCACCAUACCAAAUGAAAAUCAUGCAGUAAAUAGAAGUAUGAGAUAGUUUUACCCCAGUGGUGAGAUAGGCAGAGACCAAAACAAGUUUCUCGCUUAUUUAAUAACAUUAAUCAAUAGGAAGAUGUACUAGGAUGGUGUGCAGCUUCACUAGUCUCAACUUAGAGAAUGGACUACUACAAGUCCAAGUGGACAGAGCUUACUGCAACUAGAUAGCAAAUACAAUAUCUUCAGAUGUAAAACAUGUAUUGAAAGGUGGACUUUGAAGAAAGGACUACAGUAGGUAUACAUUUGGAAAUAGCAGGAUCCAAACUGACUUUUUUGUCCUUCGGAAUGAAAACAGAUAAUAUCUUCUUAAUAGGAGCACUGUAUUACACACUCUAGCAUCUACUUAUUGACUAAACACUUAUUCAGCAAAUUUGAGGUUAGUUUCCUUUGACUGUAUAGCAGAUUCUUAAAGAGUGGAGUACCUCUCUUUACCUUUGGUUUUAUUUUCUUGAGUUUUGAAAUGUUCCUGUCCUCUUGAUAGAGGAAAGACCACCAUUUUAAGGUGUCACAAAGCUGAUUAUGGAAAAGAAUGACUCAUUUGACUCUCAAAUUUUAAAAAGUGAGUCAUGCUUUUAUUUAUAAGGAGUAGGUGGGAAGAUAUGAGAACUCCUCAAGUCCCCUCAGACUUUAGGAAACCCAGAGUGAAAACAACCUUUAGUCAUCUGAUCUGAAUAAGUACUGACACUGUCCGUUUUUUCAUAAUGCUUCAUUCUUACUUCCAUUCUUACUUUGUGUUUUGUUAAUUUGGAAAUAAAGAGGGGAAAGAUGGGAAACUUUCUAGUAGUAAAAAUGGGAAAUAUUCUCAGUCACUAGGCACCCCUGUUUCAUGCUGUCUUGGACACAGAUUACACUCUGAUGAGGAGCUGCAUUCCAAGCCAUCUGUGAAUCCUCAAACUUGCACACCCACAGUGGAAAAUGGGUAUAAUUUGUCUCUAUAGCUGCUCAUAGGAUGUGCCAAACUUUUUUUCUCUUUCAGUUGCUUCUCUUCACUAUCUACAUCCAUCUUCAUCCUUAUUUUCUCUGAAUUUUUGACCAGCAAGAAGAGGAAAGAAGCACCAUCUGUUCUUAAAAAGCUCUAAGUUUGGCUUCUACUGUUAAUCAGCAGCAAAUCGGAGUAGAGCACAGUCCUUGGUGUUCCUCAGUGUCUGUAACAGAAAAUUUGAGCAAGCCUAAAUGGAUGAGUGUUUUGUUUCUAAACUAAGUAUGGCAUGACUACUGUGGGAUUGUUGUUUCAUUACAUUACAGAUAUAUUGUUCAAAUCAUAUUUGUUUUUAAUCUCUGAGCACAUUGUUAAAUGUAACCCAACCAUAUCUGAACAUUUUUCAUUUUUACUGGUAUUUCAUUCUAAGCAUUUAUCUAGUUUAUAUGACUAACUAUGCUACCAAUAACUACUUCCCCCAGAGAGUAGUAUUAAAUGUUUUUGUUUGUUUGUUUGUUUGUUUUCCACGAGAAGAAAAAUUACUGUAAAAAUGGAGAACUCUUUUCUUGCAUUGUGUCUCCCUGCCAGACUGGUCUGGAGUAAUGUGCAAUAGAGUUCACACUGUCUAAUUAUGAAACUUGUGUUUUAUUCUAAGACAACACUGCUAUUAAAACUCCACCUGUCCAGUAAGUGCAAUAAACAUAUUAGUGAGUUUAAUCCUCUCAAGCACUGGGAGUUCAUAACUCAACAGUGACCACAUGGAUCAUUAGAUGCAAAUGAGUCAAAAUAAUUCAGCAACGUGCAUGCCUUCAUCAUAUCUGGUGAAAAUUGCUGUUUGAAUGUGAGUCUGCUGAGUUUUGUGCUAUGUCAUUUGAAGACUGAAAAUACCUGUACCAUGAAAUGCACAUUCUUCCUUUUAAAAAAAUGGAGGAGGAAAUCUUUGCAGUGUUUUAUCAUAACUCAGUCUUAACUUCUGAUCCCCUGCUUUUACCACCACAGUGCAUUUUUUCUUCAAACCAAUACAAGUAAAAGUCACAGUCUAUCUCUUGUUUCUGAUGUUAUGACAAACUGCAGGGGAGGCCAAUUAUUCUGUCUUCUUUUAGUGAGUAGUAGCUGAAGAAGGAAUUUCACCCUAUGUGUUUUUUCACUGGAACCUCCAGAUGGUCUGGUGUUACAGUGCUGCAUCCGACGCACUGACAAAUAGGCUGUCAGGGAAGAUCUUUCCUGUAAUGUACACUGUGAAACUAAACCAUCUAUUUGUUGAUAUACAUUGUUUGAAGUGUGUGCAGUUUGCUGUGAUGCAUCCUGAGAAGGUGACAUGUCUUUGUCUCUAUGUGAGUUCAGUACUUGAUUGAAGUAAAACUGAUGUUCCAUAUACUGAAUUGCCAAAUUAAGUUAUGUGCCAGAAAACAUCUGUUUUCUUUUAUAUAGUGACAUUUGCUCUGUGUAGCUUAUUGAUAGGUGUUUUUUUUUUUUUUUUUUUUAAGCACGGGUUUCAAUCCAACGUAAAUGAAGAAAUGAAGUAGCCCAUCAAAUAUUGGUCAUCUAUUACUAAACUAAAAGAAUACACUGAAAAAAAUGUGAUAAAUGUUUAAUAAUAAAAGAGGAAGAUCCCAAAGGACAAUUUAUUAGGUGGCUUGUAGAAAUGAUAUUCAGAUCUUAAUGAUAUUGAAGGGUAUUACAACACUGUUCCUACUUGACUAAGACUUGUAAUUCAGAGGCCUAGGUAAAGUGGAGCAAUUGAAGUCUUAUUCCAGUAUGGUGUCCCAUCACUUGGCUGUAUUUUUGGUAGAACAUCACUUUAAAUGACUGAUUUUCUCUCAGAUUGCUAUUGCUGUUGAUUUUGAUCUGAGACGUCAUCAUGUUGCUGAAUAAUCUGCAUGUUGAAAAUUAAUAAGUUGUAACAAACCACAUUCUUUUUUCUUGAUUUUAUUGUUUUAAAAUCACUCCUACCUUAGUGUGAUAAGUAUGGGGCUACAUUUAAACUCACAGAGUUUCAAGUUAUAUUUGUUGACACAUAAUUUGGUUUUCAAACUACUUAAAUCAUAAUCCUCGAAUGUAUAGUUGAAGGACUGAAGGAGAAGACCAUUUACUGGUGAUAGGUGUACACUUCUUUUAUGUGUGCAGUGUUCUUCCAAAAAAGAUGUGUACCUUGAAAAGGUAAAAUAAACCGUAGAAGUUUUCACGAAAAGCAGUCUUCCACUACUCUCUUUGACAGUUUGUAUAUGGAAGGGAGGUUAUUGAAUUUUCAAGUUUAAGAAUGUCAGACUCAGAGUAGAUGUAGUCCAAUAGAAGCUAAAUACUACCCUCGUCUACAUAAGAACUGACCAGCUUUUCCCAUGAAGUGGUUCUAACACUUCAUUUCACUCACUGUACAAAUGAAAGAAAUGUAAACCCUAAUUUCUCAAGGUAUUUUUAAUUAUGUUUGAAGCAAUUAAGUAGUUUCAGAAGUCAUUGUCCUGAAUAGCGUUGCAUAGAAUCCUACAGUUUUCCAGGUUAGCUUAUACAGCUUAUUUCUGUAUUUACAGUUCGUUUUAUAUCCUUUCUACUAGUUAGGAACAGAGAUUUCUAAAUAGACCUUGCAUGGCUUAUAAGAUGAACAGAUCAUCUUGAAUGCAAUCACACAGCACAUGCAGGACAACUGGGGAUCAGGCCCAGCCAACAUGUGCUCAUGAAAAGCAGGUCUUGCUUGACGAAGCUGACCUCCUUCUAUGAUCACGUGACCCACCUAGUGGAUGAGGGAAAGGCUGUUGAUGUAGUCUACCUAGACUUUAGCAAAACCUUUGACACUGUCUCCCACAAUAUUCCCUUGGAGAAACUGGAAGCCUGUGUCUUGGUCAGGUACAGUCUUAGCUGGGUAAAGAGCUAGCUGGAUAGUCGAACCCAGAGAGUGGUGGUGAAUAGAGUUAAAUCCAGCUGGCAACUGGUCAUGAGUGGUGUGCCCCAGGAGUCGGUGUUGGGGCCCAUCCUGUUUAAUAUCUUUGUUGAUGAUUUGGGUGAGGGAAUUGAGGUUACAAGUGUAAUUAGUAAUAGGACUAGAGGGAAUUGUUCACAAGAUGUGCCAGGAGAGGUUCAGGUAGGAUAUUAGGAGAAAUUUAUUUUCAGAAGGAGUGGUUAGGCAUUGGAACAGGCUGCCCAGAGAGAUGUUUAAGUCACAGAACCUGUAUGUGUUCAAGAAACAUUUGGAUGUUGUACUGAGGUACGUGGUUUAGUAGGGAAAUACUGGUGGUAGGUGGAUGGUUGGACUAGAUGAUCUUAGAGGUGUUUUCCAUCCUUAAUGAUUCUAUGAUUCCAUGUUCUGUAACAUGUUCAAUGCAGAUUUAAAAUGUUUUCCCUUGCAUCAGUGCUUUUGACACAACUUUUUGCUGUUCCUUUUUUUUUCCUCUCUGAUUUUGCUUAAUUAAUAAUUAAUUGUUACAGACUGGUUCUGCUACAAUUUGGUAUUUGAUGCUUUGGAUUCCAGAUCCAUUAACCUCAAUGUAUAGGCCAACAGCAAGUAAAUUAGUGAGACUUACCGUGCAGUAUUUUCAAAAGGAAACAAAUACAAGUACUUCGAGUACUUAAGAAAGGCUUCUAAGGAAACAGACAAAGAGGUGAGUGGGUAUGAGCUGUGUAAGCAUUAUUUACAUGUAAAUGGUGCAACUAUUCUUCUUUUAAUAUAGAAAAAUAGAAAGUUAUUUGGUGGGGCUGACAUUGGAUUAUUUUCUGAAGACACCACUCUGUCAAAUUUUUACCAUUCUGACGGUGAUCUGAAAUAAUAUAGGCUGGUAAUUUAUUUAGAUUGAGUUCGUAUUCAUUUGGUUCAUUUAAUUUGAAGAAAGGGGCUUGGAUCGUAAAUAUUUUUAGAACUCUAAAACUUCACAGAUUUGGAACAGAAUAAUGAGCAUUAUGGAAUAUUGAGAGAUGUCUGUGUGAGGAAUCCUUUUCUUUGUAAAAAUCCAUCCAGAUUUGAUCAAGUGGCAAAAAACCCUAGUUUGCAGUGGCAGUUUCUGGGCUCCAACUAGCUGAUAUCUCCCAGGAGACUAGCAUAAUCAUCUAAAUAAGAUUGCUUAGUCUUUCCUCUGAUCUUAGGAUUGCCCUGCUCAGACAAAGCAGCACUGAACACAUCUCUGAAAGUUGAAGUACUUCCAAAAGAUAGCUGUCAGGCAUCUUGAGCUGGUUACCAAUGUUUUUUGCACACUUCUGUGCUGUAGAGAUAAUCACUCUGAAAUUCCUGCAGUGAUUGACAAAUUGUGCCUUCGAAGUGUAAAUAAAAUGCAGUAAGUAAGAACCUAUAUUGAGCACUGUAAGACACUACAGGAUAGUCAUUUAGUGAGCAAAAUGUGCAUUGGGUCUAUAAUGGAGAAAAAAAUAUGUAUACAGUUACAGUAUAUAUGUGCAAGAGAGCACGUCGUAUUACCCUUGUCUAGCUUUGUGGGGUAUGACUUUUAACUUUAAUAAAACUCAAUGUAGCUUUCAUGUCUGUAAUACACUGUUAAAUAUAGCCCUUAAGAUCAUGUUAUAUUUCCUCUAAUUUAAUAAAAUGCAUGACACUACAUUAAAAUAGAUUGCAAGUGCCUAUUAGAAUAGGUAGAAGUGUGUGAAUGGACACAAUGUGAGUUUUAAAAUAGUUUGUAACUAACUUGAUAGAUUAUUUUACAAACAUCAUCAAGUUUCUGCACCUAAUCUGCAUUUAUGAGUUAUCCAAGGAAAGCUAAUAUAGAAGACCAGAUUAUUCCAGAUUUACCUAUGUUUUUAAAAUAUGGAUAUCUGAAUAUUCAUAUAUUAUUUGAAUAUCUCACGUUAUUCUGAUCAAUGCUGAAAGACAAAAUCAAAGAUACUGAUUCAUUCUGGUAAUUUCUGAAUUGCUAAAAAUGUAUAUACUGAAAAUUAUAUUUAAUUGCAAAUUAUCUGUUUGCUCAUCAUUUUCCUUCAGACUUCUUGAGGAAAUCUCUUGUGAAAAUGCAACUUUUUCCAAUCUACAACAUUUCUCAAGGAAUUCCACAGUUUUCAUGUAAAUAUUUUGUUUAGAUAUCUCCUGGAAGGAUCAAAUUCGUUUAUAAAGAGAUGAAUUGCAUCUAAGAGAUCAGCCCUGUAUUUUGCUAGCAUUUCAUCAUCUGAUUAUCCAGAAUACACUUUAUCUUUAAUGCUCAUCUUUUAAUCCAUUUACAGCUAUUUUAUACAGGAAAUGGAAGACUUGAACAUUCAGAUUUAAGAAGUGAGGAAAAUGGAUGAUACCAGAGGUGCUUAGAAAGCAACAAAAAGGAAUUCUGAGAAAUACAUGUAAAUAUUUAUAAAUAAAUCAUAAAAAUAGGUCAUUUCUUUUUAUCUGUUGUUACUAACAGGAAGAGAUUAAUUCAGUUCAGUUCAGUUCAGAACAUCAGAUAAAUUGUUUGUACCCUUUGAGGAUAUGAAAGAAAAAUAAAGUUAUAAUUACCUGUAAUGUAGGUAGGAGUGUUGUGAAUCAGAUAUACUGUGAUAGGGCUAGUAUAUGUGGACUGCAUAUGUAUGUAUAUAUCCAGAUAAACUGCAGUUUGCAAACUGUUGUGCGUAAGUGUCUGUCUGUUUGGAUUACCAUGGUUGGAAAAGAAUCUAAAACAUUCUCUUUGACCUAAGCAUAUUAGCAUAAAAUCAUAAUUGUAUUGAGAUGCUAUAUUUUAGGAAUAAAAUGAUGCUCGAAUUUGGCAAAAAAAAAAAAAAAAAAAAAAAACAAACCCUAAUGUUUAAUGACUUGAGGACAGGGCAGAAUGGCUCCACUCUAAUAAGAAUAAAUUUUAAACUAGUAUUAUGUAUCCUGUAUUCCAGCUGUGAUGUGUAGUCACUGAUAAUUUUUUAUUGUUUUGAAUUCAAAUCUAGCCUUUACUUUUAAGGUUUGUGCUGUUUCUUUUCAUGUUUUUUGAAUAAGAUGAACUGUCCCACCACACACCUGCAUCAGUUGGUGCACAUCCUCAGGAUGUAGAGACCUUCAGAUUAUCUUUUUCAGGAGGAUGAGGUUCUGCACUUGAAGUUCUAAAUGUACUCACUCAAGUGACUGUUUCAAGAGGCAUCAGGCUUGAGCUAUAGUAAUACCACUACUUUGAAGGCAUCUGCUGCCUUUGAUUGACUGUGGAGGGAGGCCACAAACUAUUUAACUAUUUAAGGAUGGUUACCUAAGUGCUCACUUCUAUGUGGGAUGGGCUAAGAUGAGGUUAGAUGCUUCUCCUCUUCCUUUAUAAAAUUCUCUCCAUAUUCCAUUUCUUUUGCCUUUCAGUGUCCCCUUUUCCCUGCCUUUUUCAUUUGUGAUAUCAUUUUGCUUUUGCUCCCUUCCUAUACUUCUCACAAUGAUACUAUCUCCUGUGUUAACACUUAUAGCUAUGUUACGUAACCCAGGUUGAUUCUGCAACUUUUUACCUGCCAAUAAUCAGUUUUUUAAAUAGCCAGAGUAGUAAGAUCUUACUCUCCAGAGUUUAUUUUUUCACCAUUUGUGAUCAUCAGUUCCAGCAUCCCACACAGUAGUACAGAUUCCCUGAGACUGACCACAGUUUUUAUCUAAACAGCAAUGAAGGAGAAAGGUUUUUAAUCUCACCUGCAUGUUUAGAUAUUAUAAUCUUAGAAGAUGGGAAGGACAUGGAGGGGAAAAAACUUAUUUGCUUCCCAUAUUUUCAUUACUUAUAAUAAAACCUUUUAUUGUCUGCUCUUAGAAUACACUAAACAAGUAUAAAGGUGAUCUUUAUCUAAAACUUUUCCCAAUACAUCUGUUGAGGAGAACUGCUUUUUGAAUUUAUUAGAGGUUGUAGUUCAAAGUGGCUGUUUGGCAGCCACUGCCCCUGCCUGUUUCUUGGUCAUCACUGGGAAAGCAUUCUGAAUUCUGGAGCUUUUAUGCUUGUAUGUUUUUAUGUCAUCUGCACAGAUCACUGGUAGUCAGAGGAAAUUCAUGCAUGCCAAAAGAGAUGAGAUCUCAUUCUCAGCUUUACAGUCCCUACAUCAUGUGGCAAGACCAUCAUUCACAGAAUUAACUCCCUCCAUGCUUCCAUUGAGAAAUACCCCAGUAGUGUCUUUUAGGUCCAUCAAAUUGUGUUUUGUGAUUUGGCAGGUAAAGAGAUACAUAUUAAGUUGAGAAAGAAGGAAUGGAUUUAGGGUUUUGUAUGGAAAGGCUGAUGGAUUUGGAAAGUAAUUUACUUAGGUAGAGUCAGGUGGGUUGGCAGUAAGUAGAAACAUAUUUUAUUUUUUGGCAAGAAAGCUGUUAUGCUCAGGGAAUAUCAUAUGUCUUGUCAACCGAGGUGGAAAAUUUUUGAGAGAACCUCUUGUAAAAUUUCUGGAAUUAUAUCACAGCUUUUGUCGUGAUGUAAAUAUUUCAGGAUUUCAAAGUCAUACAGAGAACAGUCAGGGAAAGAAAGCAGGGAUUUUUUGACAAUGAUGCUUCUCUCAUAUUCAGAAGAAAAUAAUUCCUUGAUUCCUUUUAUGUAAGCAUUAGGAUUGUUCCAGCGAAUGAGAGGUACUUUAAACCGUAAAACAAAAUGCUACACAAGAAAGAAGACUGAAUUAUUUAUCCCUAUGGAGAGAAAAAAAAAAAAGAAAAAGAAAAAGAAAAAAGAAAAAAAAAGGAAAUAUAAAAGCAUUUGGCUUUCUGAAAUGACAAUCCCUUUUUCAUAUUCCCUUCACAUUUCAUUUAUGUCUAUAAUAACGAAUGAUGUCACUAAAUCAUAUUACUUCAGUCUGUUCUUUUUACACUUAUUUCUGUUUAGAAACAACGUUUGAAGGAGUUUUUAAACCAUGAUAUUAAAGGAGAAAGCAAAGCUGUGAAAUGUUAUUGUAAUUCAGAUUUGGACAGUGUCAGAUUCAGCAUCAGUACUGACUUUUCUGAGUGGACUAUCACACAUUAAAGGUAUAUUUAAAUACUAUUUGUCUGGUUUUCACUUGACAUUUCUAAUGGAAAAAAUAAUAAAGUACUGCUUAGUUUAAUUAAUUUUUCUUUUAAAUAACACAUAUUCGUAGAAUCAUAGAACAAUUAAGGUUGGAAAAGACCACUCAGAUCAUCUAGUCCAACAAUCAAGCCAUCUGAAAUGACUUGAAUUUUUAAAAAUGCUGACUAUUUGGUAUUUGAUUAAUCUUUGCCCAUUUGAUUGGCCUACUGGUCAGAACAUGUGCAGUUUUGAUAUUCAACAAAAUUGUGUUUUAUUUCAAUAUGCAACUUGUCUCAACAUGGAUGAAAGAAGCUACUGUGAAGGGCCUUCCUACAGUGUUAGACGCGGUAUUAUUUUUUACUCACCUGGACUGCAAUGGGUAGCCCUGACUGCUCUUAAAUACCAGCAGUGUCUCACUAGGAGAUCUUGGAUAUUUUAUGAUGAAAUGGUGAUAAAAAUUUUUGUAUUUGGUCUUACCGUAGAAAAUUCUAUCUGGAUACAUACUUAGCUAUGGUGAUGGCUUGCAUCACAUAUCCACAGAUGUUUUUGUAUAAAUAUGCACAAAUGAAUGAAUAUCCUUUUAUACAGGCAAGAAUACAUGCAUACCUACAGAUGAUAUAACAUACAUCUCCAUAAUGCAUAUUUCUGCCCUUAAUAGGUAUUAAAUGUUCUAUGUCUAAAAGCAGUUGAGGUCUCCUAUAGGGAGAGUUUAAAUAUCUCCUCUCAGGGAAUAUGCAAUUAUAUCUGAAUAUGUAUGUCUUUAUUUGUGAGAAUUUGUGGCAUUCUGUUCCGUAGUGAUCUGUAUGUGUGUGUGUUUUCAUGCUGGUGUUUGUGAGAAAAUCGUCUAUGUGUGACAAGAAAUAAAAAACAUUCUCCUGCUCACAUUGUGAAUGCUUAUGAAACUGCUGUUAAACAGACAGUGGAAAAUUAUUUGGCUGGAAAUAUUUGCACAUUAUGUGAACAAAAAUUUUAAAAAAUUCUGAUAAAAUUGCUUUUUGAAGCAAUGAAUAUUAAAGCACAGAAACUCAGAAGAGUUUUGUUUAUUUUAUCAAGCUAAAAUAUUAACAGUUAUAUAUUUAAUAUUGAUCUAAUUUGUUUCUCUGAUAACAUGUACAUUGGGGUAAUAAAUUUAAUCAAAUAACAGAAUGUGAUAUUUCACAUAUGCAAACACACAAUAUAAAAAUUAUAUUUCCAUUUUGUUAGUCAAAACUAUUACUUAGUGGAAACUGAGUUUCAGAAUAGGAUAAGGAGUUGUAUUUUGUUGUCAUUAAAUAGGAAGUAAUUUGACUUGUACACUCAAAGUAAUCUCUCUAGUCAAUCAUAACAUAGAUUUCAGGGCUUAUUUAACAGCUGCUUCCAAGGUAUGUAUUACUUCAACUUUGAAAAUCAUUCUUUUUGGUGUUUUAAGAUAAUUACAGCAUAUUGAAUGUACGUUUUGGACAUGAUCUCUCAUUGCUCAUUUCUGUUGUGUUACAAGUUGAUGAAAAGUAAACAGCUUUUUGAUGCAAAGUCUAAAAUUUUGAUGUAGUGUACAGCUGUUCAGGAAUGCUUAGUUAGAAUACUUUUAUAACAAAAAGUGUUAUCUAGGCAAAAUUGAAACCUUUUGUACAAUUUUUUUAAUGAAAAAUAGAUUUAGUUUCUAGCCAUAUCUGACACAGUAAUGAUGUGAAAUAUAAUUUCUCUAUGCCUGUUGCACUGCCAUCAUGUUUCUUCCUGAUUAAAGUGAUUCUGGUCUCAUGAUGCUGUAAAAUGCUGCAGUCAAUUUUAUUUUCUUCAAAGAAAACAACUCUGUGAAAACAUUAGCACAUACAUUUCAUGAAAUUAAUUGGAGAUUUAGUUUUGAUGAGAGACUGCUAAGCAGAGGAAAGAUUGUACAUGAUGAUAUUGCUCAAAUUCCUUUAUGGAAUAAAAAAAAAAGCCAUACAGGUUUGUUAAUGAGGUCAAAUUUCAAUCAAAACCAAACAAUUUAUUAUUAUAUGAAAUGCACAAACAUGAGCUGAACUGUAAAGGAGGCUUUUUUUUUUCUUUCCUGUUUUUUAAUAUGUAUACAGCACCUUUUUUUUUUUUUUUUUUAAUGAGCAGCUUCAGCUGCAGUUGCUAAAACCAAAGAUAUUGAUUUUAUUACAAACCAGAUAGUUUUUAUGAACAUCUGUCUUUCAUAAACACCAUGGAUGUUUGGUAAAAUAUUCUUGCAGCUGAAAAGGGAUAAACCAGGUGAGCUAUUAUGCAAGUGAAAUGGAAGAUUAUGAUACUGGAAUCUCACCUAAUUUCACCUCCUUCCCCUCCCUAUCACCCCUUUUUCAGUCUCUUUUUAGGGAAAUUAAAAAUCUGUGGAUGUCCAAGGUUGCAAAGUUCUGAGCUUAUGCUGAACCUUUUGCUGAUUAAAAUUUUGGGUUAUGUUUUGUUUCUCUUGAAAGAAAAAGCCCCAUACUUAUAAGCAUGCUGUUAGCUUUAUUCCUCAUAACGAAAGCUUCACCUAAAGAUGCCUCUUAAAAAAAAAAAAAUCUAUUUAAGUAAUUAAAUAUCAAUGUUCACAGAAUGCUACAGGUUUUUAAAAAGUAUGAUUCUGCUGAAUAAAAACUGACAUAUGUAAAAACUAAUUUUUCAAAAUAAAACAUUUGAAAAUGAUGAGAAAAUGUCUUACGGUUCUACUGGAGUUUCUUACAUUUGUUACAGCAACACAUGGCUCACUUGGGAAAUGCUGAGCUGGCCUGACAUUUUCUAUCCAAUACAACUUUUUAUCCAUCUGUUUUCAUAUAAAUUAUUUUUUCAUUUCUGCAUUCUAGAAGGGGGAUAAAAAUGAUUCUGAAAAACAGAAAAGCAGCUUAUGCUUUUAUAUGGAGAUAUUGCAAGUGGCAUCAUAAUAUAUGCUUUAGAACUGCAUCUUUUUCUGUAUUAAAGUGUUGAGUAAAAGGCUGGGGAGAAAAUGUCAGACAUAGUGAAGAAAGAUAUGGUUUAGUUUAAAUCGUACACUGAAGGAAGUGAAAAUAUGACUUAAGCCAAAAUAAGACAUGCUAAUAUGUGCUCCUUCAUGACACAUUUCCUCUGCAUCACUUUCUGCUGCUUGAAUCUGAUUCUGCAAGACCUUGCACACAUGAAUAGUCUCACUAAACAUGACAGGACUGCUGGAAGAGUUGGCAGGUCUGGAGCCAGAAUGUGUCACAGUUACAUGACACCACAGUGAAACCAGCUGAGUAUCAAGGGAUAUUGAUAGUUGAGAACUAAAAACCUUUUUUCCAGGUUGCUUUCAAACUGUUUUGUGUGUUUUAAACAUAUUACCUUUUUUCAUAAGUGCUUCAUAAAUGAAGAAUACUGCUUUCUUCUCCACCUGCCUCUGCUUUCUUCCUCUCUUUUCUUCAGGAAAACAAAAAAUAGAAGGAAAAGUAUAUCAUGUACCAUCUUUGUUUCUAUAUAUUCAGCAAAUAAGACAGUAAAAAAAAUUGGAGAUUUUGUGUAUUAAAUUGACUAAACUAUAUCAGGAAAUCUAAAUUGCUUUAUCUCAAGCAAGUCCAACAACAACUAUUACAGAACUGUUUAGUGGUGCAUCCCUGCAUGCUUAUUGAACAUCUUCACUGUAAUCAUGUCAUAGAAUCAUAGAAUAAUAGAAUGGAUUAGUCUGGAGAGCACUUCAAAGAUCAUCUAGUUCCAGCCACCCCUGCAAUGAAUAGAGCUGCCCCCCACCAGCUCAGGCUGCCAAGGGCCCCAUCCAACCUGGCCUUGAGUGCCUUCAGGGAUGGGGUACCCACAGCUUCUCUGGGCAGCCUCACCACUCUCUGAGUAAACAUAUUUUCUUAGCAUCUAAUCUAAAUCUCCCCUGUUUUAGUUUAAAGCAGUUUCCCCUUGUCCUGUCAUUAUCAGACUGUAAAAAGUUGGUUUUCCUCUUGUUUGUAAGCUCCCCUCAAGUAUUGGAAGGCUGCAAUGAGGUCUCCCUGGAGACUUCUCUUCUCCAAGCUAAAUUACAUACUACAAGGGCUUGUUGGAGGACUCAUCACCUGCCGAUUCUGUAUCUGUCAGCAGACAACCUCCUGUAAGCUACAGAUUCACGUUCUGUCAGUACAGUCACUGGACAUUAAGGCUGCUUGAGCAGUUUGAAAGAAAAAAACAUGAGGCAACAGCUGUUCUUUGUAAAGUUGAGUAAAACACAGACAACCUUGAAGCAGAAGCCUCUUUUGAUCUCAAGUUGUUUUCCUGCUUCAGCAUCCACCCAGUUUAUCUCAAGCAGAGGUGUAUGCUACUUGCAACUAUUUGAGACAAGCAGGUACUGUACAUAGAUGCUUAGAGGAUGUACACAAAGGAGAACGUGCCCUAUCUGCCAUAAUGGACUUCAACUGAUGAAAAUUGGCAGAAAGGUUCAACUUGUGCAAUAGAAGAAAAGCCAUUUCUGGACCCUCGAGCAAGAAUGUGACUUUCUUCGAUAUUAUAUUCACAUAUUGUUACCAAAAUAUUAUCUGAAAGGAAAUGCUGAAAGAAUAUGGGGGAGAAUGACACAAGAUGAAGCUCUCGGAUGAAAAUCUCAGGUCAGUGAAGAAACAGUCAAACCCAAUGAAUUCUCAUUCAAAUUAACUUCGUACUUUUAGUCUAUGAAUCGGGGAGGGGGGAGGGGGAGAGGUGCGGUCAGUGGUUUUAGCUAGUUCACAAAAAAAUUGAAACAAGGGAACUGUUUUAACAGACCAUCUUGCAUGUACAAAGGGGAGUUACCUUCUCUGUUGGCCAAUCCUCGGAGGACUGCUUCAAGUAGCCGACUCCUUGACAAAAAAAGGAUUUAGUGAACAACUCAUGAUCAUGAUUCAUGUAAUUUUGCACAUUUUAUUCUAAUACUCUUUUUGUAAUGUUGUUUCAAAAAGCAAAAUAAAAGUUUUCUUUUAAUUAUGACUUCUAAGAGUUUUUUUUUUCUAUUGACAAAACAUAGAUAAAAUACCAUUUCCCAUUCUGUCAAUAACUUUUCACUUAACUGCCCUUGUUUCAUAUUACACUUUCCAACUUUUCUAAGCUAUUCUGGCAGUAAAAGUAUCUGUGUUUAAACCAAAAUAAACAUCAAAUAGUACAAAAAAUAACAUUCUCUGGCUAAACCAUAGUGAAUCUACUGAGAGGGGCAUAUACAUUGUGGAGGCAAAUUGUUAUAUAUGCAAUAUGUAUGUAAUUACCUAUAUAAGGAGAAACAGAAAUUUUGCAUGUUGAACUGUUGAAGAAAUUUUGCAUGUUGAACUGUUGAGCUUGAAGGAAGUGUUAAGCAGGGAAGAAGAUUCAGUAAGAUCUUUUUGUAUUACAGUUAAACUCUUUCCUAAUGUUAAUAUCCGUAGCCUAGUGAUGAGGCUUCAUAUGCAAAAAGGUUGCAUGAUAGAAGUUAAUUUGGAAGACGUUUACUAGAAUCUGAACAACCAUCAUUUUGCAGUUUGAUUUAGUUAUUCUCAUAUGAGUUGUAUGUUUUCACAGAGCAAACAUAAUAUUUUUGUGGGGUUUUCAUUUUUAUUCUAUUUUUUCCCCUCAUGUUAGAGAACCUAGGAAAUCUCCUUUUCACGGCAGUAUCAAAAUGUAAUCAAACAAUGUUUAUAAUUAAGGAAAAUAAGUUUUGAAUAAAGCUUAUGUUUGAUAAAUAAAAGCUUAAAUGAGAUUUUUGUUUAAGCUAGUUGCUUUUUUUUUCUGUCCUUCCCACAUGUAGGAGCUCACUGAAGUCCAUGACUCGAAUAAAAUUUAGUGUGAAUUAAUUUUAAAUGGGACAAAGCCAACUGCAUUUUCCUAGAAAAGUGUCUCCAUGUGUUUGCAGAGGUCUUGUCAGCCCAUCUUAGAGCCAGCAAUUCCUUUCCCUCAACUGUGUGGUCUGGUAAACAUGCUUUGUCUGUUCGUAGUGCACGUGGGAAUUAGAAAGAAUUGUGCACACUCUGAACUGAAGACUUUCAUUCAGAAUAAACAUUUGCGUAAUGCUUUAUUUGUGAGGCAUAACUUAUUAUCUAGUGCAUUGAAAAUAUUUACAUGCAAUAUGUGGGAGAUUAUCAAGUUGUCUGGCAUUUAAGAAAAGGUUGCAUCUGUAUUGUACAGGUGGCAAACUUGUUCUGAACUACUUGAAUAUUUUAACAAUGACUACACAUAUAAUAUAGCCAUAUUUUAAGGUGAAUUAUUUUCUUUCAGUUUUGUCAUUUUUAAACCUAGAAAAAUGUUUGCAUGAUUCAUUCCUCAGUUUCUAUUUCCACAUUUUGCUGGUUUUUUUUUAAGAUAAUUGUGCUUGUGACAUCUUAAAAGUUCACAUUCUGGAUAUAAGUAAAAUCAGUAUUAUGUACAGUAGACAAAAGCCUUUCACAACCCAUAGCAGAAACUUGUCCUGGAUGAAGAGGAAGGCAUAGUUGGUGGUCUGGAAGUUUGAUUAAAACUAGUUUAUCUAAGGAAAACCAGAAACACUAUCUUCAGCUUCCAUGGAUAAUUUUUGCAGAUAACCAAGUUCCCCGUUUUGUCUCUUAGUCAAAACAACAAAAAAGAAAUGUGUUCGUUCCUUCUUUCUUUCUUUCUUUCUUUUCUUUCUUUCUUUCUUUCUUUCUUUCUUUCUUUCUUUCUUUCUUUCUUUCUUUCUUUCUUUCUUUCUUUCUUUCUUUCUUUCUUUCUUUUCUUUUCUUU